AUUCUCCAUUCCAUGGAUUCAUAAAUGGAUCCCAGAAGUAGGUUUUACUCCUGAAGAAAAAAUUCCUUGUUUAUACCAGAUUUAUUAUUAUAAUUUUUGGGACAAGCUAACAAGGCAAGACCCAAAGACCGGUCAACCCCAUGGUAAAGAGCUUGUAGAUCAGAUACAACCAAAAAUCCAGAAUUAUAAGGAGAUACCCCAAAGGAAGUUGUUAACUGAAAAUUCUAUCAAGCACAUUGCAAACAGAAUCUCCAUCCAAGAGGGUGAUAAAGACGAAAUGAUCAACGAGUAUCUCGAAGAGGUUAAAAUAAAUCUAUUGCAAAACCUCUCAGAAUUUGAUAAAUUGGAUACUUCAAUGAAGAGUGGCACUAGCAACGAUAUUGCAGAUGCACAGUCCGAUGAAUAAGAGCUAAUUAUGAUUGAAAGUGAGCUCGACAAGGUACAAGAUUUUUUGCUAUCCAUUAAGGACCAAGAAAGCCUGGCAAGGAUAAAGGCAAAAGGAAAAAUCUAGAUUCCUCCUUAUCCUUAAUAGUGAAAACACUGUCUAAAUAGUAGAUAUAGUGUGUAAGGGGCCCAGAUAAGAGACCCACUAUUAUUCUAUGUCUCUUAAAAUUGCCUAUAUAAGAAGCACUCCUCCUCAGAUGAGAGGGAGGAUCUCUUUAGGAAUUUUAUCUUUUCUUUCUUUCCUUAGUAACUCUCUCUCUCUCUCUCUCUCUCUCUCUCUUAUAAUAUAUUCCGGCAAAGAAAUAAAAGUCCACAUUUUUGGGAAACUCUCUUAGGUGCAAGCACAGGUGGUCGAUAGAGUUGCAUGAUCUUUGUUGCAGCUAUCCGGACGUCAGCAUUCAUCUGGAGUUUUGUAGAGAAUGAACCCUAGGAGGGUUAUUGGUUAGAGGAGGAGGGGGGCAGCUGCUAGGGGCAAUCGAGUUCUACCCAGGCCCCAACUGAAGGAGUGGCCAUGCCGAUUAACCCAGCUGGGUAGAACAAUGCUAAGGUAAGGGCAUCUUUGGAGGAUAUGGAAUAGUCCAUCGCGAUGCAGGCUCAGGCUAGGCUGCCCAAGUCAACCGGCAGGAUGUUCAGAGGGAGAACCCCCCGGUUUGGAGUAUGGUUGACAAACUAUAAGAUUUCACGAGGAUGAACCCUCCCAUAUUAACAGGGGCUAAGACAUCAAAGGACCGUCAAGAGUUUGUAGAUGAGGUGCAUAAGGUCCUGGUGGCUCUGGGGCCACUGAUAUUAAGAAGGCUGAGUUGACUUCCUAUCAGCUUAAGGAUGUUUCACAGACUUGGAGAAAUAUGUGGCAAGAUAACCGUAUCUUUGGUGGAGUGCCAGUCACAUAGGAGUUUUUCACGACAACAUUUCUUGAGAGACUCUUCCCCAGAGAGAUUAGAGAGGCCGAGGUUGAGGAGUUCAUCAACAUUAAGCAAGGCUCUAUGGCAGUCAGGGAGUAUUCCAUGAAAUUUGUUAAGCUAUCAAGGUUCCUCACAGAAAUCAAUGGAGAUUUGGAGGAGGAGUGUCGAUCUGUGAUGCUUCAUGAUAAUAUGCACCUUUCAAGGUUUAUGGUGCAUGUCCAGUAGGUAGAGGACAACCGCAAAAAGUGAGGUAUUCGUGAUGUUAGGAGGCCUAAGCCUCAAGAUUAGGUAGGUCCCAGUCAUGGAAGCCACAAAAAUAAUUUUGGCGUCCGUGAGCAGCAACGGUUCAAAAAGGGGCAACAGAGUUCUGGAAAUUCAAAUCCUCAGAGGGGUGCUACACAAAAAGGAGGCAGACCUGAGCCCAAGAAGGGCAAUGGAGGUGAGUUUAAGCGUCCUAAGAAGAAUUGUGCUAAGUGUGGUCGAGCUCAUAGUGGAGAAUGCAGACAAGGCACAAAUUCCCGCUUUGGUUGUGGUAAGAGUGGACACAUGGUCAGAGACUAUCCACAGAACAGAGGUUAGGUAAGAAGUAAUGCUCAGCCUAGGCCUAACCCACAAGGUGCAGCAACAGCCGAGCCUCCCAAGAGGAACAGAUUUUAUGCCUUGAAGGGAAGGGAGGAUCAGGAGAAGUCUGCUGAUAUUGUUACAGGUACUUAGAUAGCAUCAGUUGCAUGCCAAAUUCAGCAAGUGUUAAUUGUGGCAGAGAUCAGUGACCUUCCUGGGUCAUGUUGUGUCCGAUCAAGGUUUAGAGGUUGAGCCCAACAAGACUGAAGCUAUUAAGAAUUGGCGAAAGUCUUUUACUCCCACCGAUAUCCGUAACUUUCUGGGAUUGGAUGGUUGCUACCGCAGGUUUGUGGAGGGCUUUUCUUCCAUCGCUGCCCCACUUAUAGCUUAGACAAUGAAGAAAUCCAAGUUUGAAUCGACUUGAGACUUGUGAGAAGAGUUUCCAGGAGCUCAAGGACGAAACCACUUCAGCCCCGGUGCUUACUUUACCUAAGUGUGGUGAGAAUUACAUGAUUUAUUUUGAUGUAUCUAGGGUUGGUUUUGGUUGAAUUCUUAUGCAUGAUUGUAAGGUGAUAGACUAUUCUUCAAGACAACUCAAGGUUCAUGAAAAGAAUUAUCCCAUUCAUGACUUAGAGUUGGUAGAUGUGGUGUUUGCAUUGAAGUUGUGGAGGCAUUAUCUGUAUGGAGUGCAUGUUGAUGUCUUCACGGAUCAUAAAAGUCUCCAGCACGUGUUCAUACAAAAGGAGUUGAAUCUACGUCAGCGCAGGUGGUUGGAGAUGUUAAAGGAUUAUGACAUGAAUGUGCACUACCAUCCAGGUAAGUCUAAUGUUGUGGCUGAUGCUUUGAGAAGGAUGAGCAUGGGGAGUACAUCCCACAUUGAGGACGAGAAGAAGGAGUUGGCAAAAGAGGUAUACAGACUGGCCACACUGGGUGUGCGAUUGGUUGACUAUACUAGUGGGGGUGUUUCAAUUCAUCCUAGUUCUAAAUCAUCCUUGGUAGAUGAAGUCAAGAACGGUCAACAUCUUGAUCCUGUGUGGAUGGAGCUGAAAGACUCAGUGUUGUUAAAAAUGAAAUAGUCUUUCGCUUUGGGAGGUGAUGGAAUAAUUAGAUACCAGGACAGGCUGUGUGCACCGGAUAUGGAUGAUUUACGGACCAGGAUCGUGGCAGAGGCCUAUGGUUCCAGAUAUUCCAUACAUUCAGGUUCCAUCAAGAUGUAUCAUGAUCUUAAGAAAAUGUAUUGGUGGGAUGGCAUGAAAAAGGACAUUGCAGGAUAUGUGGCUAAGUGUCCUAUUUGUCAGCAAGUCAAGGCAGAGCAUCUUAAGGCUGGUGGUAUGAUUCAGAUUAUUGAGAUUCCAACGUGGAAAUGGGAGGCGAUUAAUAUGGACUUCGUGGUUGCUCUUCCGAGAACUAGGAGACAACAUGACUCCAUAUGGGUUACUGUGGACAGAUUGACUAAGUCUGCUCACUUUAUCUUUGUGAAGUCUACCUACAGAGCCGAGGAUUAUGCAAUACUUUAUAUCAAUGAGAUUGUGAGAUGGCAUGUGAUUCCCUUGUCUAUUAUUUUAGAUAGAGGAUCUUAGUUUACUUCUCAUUUAUGGAAAUCUUUCCAGAAGAGCUUGGGCACGCAGGUAAUGCAUAGUACUGCAUUUCAUCCUCAGACAGAUUGGCAGGCAGAGCGCACCAUUGAGACAUUAGAGGACAUGUUGAGAGUGUGUGUGAUCGACUUCAGAGGUAACUGGGAUGAACAUAUGCCUUUGAUAGAGUUUUCGUAUAAUAAUAGCUACCACCCUAGCAUAGGGAUGGAACCAUUUGAGGCACUGUAUGGUAGGAGGUGCAGAUCUCCAGUUGGGUGGUUCGAGGUUGGACAUUUAUCCAUUUUGGGUCAAGAGAUCAAUCAAUUAGGCCUUAGAGAUGGUCAGAGUGAUUAGGGGAAGAUUUACUACUACUUACAGUCAGCUGAAGUCAUAUGCUGAUAACAAAAAAUGACCCUUAGAGUGUGAUGUCGGUGACCAGAUUUACUUGAAAAUAUCGCAUAUGAAAGGGGUGAUGCGAUUUUUUAGAAAAGGGAAGUUAAGUCCGAGAUAUGUUGGGCCAUAUGAGAUUAUACAGCGUGUGGGUGAGGUAGCCUAUGAGUUUGCAUUGCCUGGGGAGCUAGCUUCUUUUCAUCCAUUCUUUCAUGUCUAUGUUAAAAAAGUUCCUAGGUGAUCCAGCAUCAAUCUUACCUGUUAAAGUUUUGGGUUUGGUGAAGACUUGUCUUAUGAGGAGGUACCUGUUAAGAUCUUAGACAGACAGGUGAAGAGGCUUAGGAGAGAAAUCAUCUUGUUGAGGGGGCUACGUGGGAGGCUGAGGCCGACAUGACAUCCCGCUACCCUUAUCUUUUUAGCUCUUGAGGUUACACUUCCUCCUCUUAAGCUUCUGUUUCCUUAUCAAUCCAUAUUUUGUUGCUAUUGAUUGACUGUGUAUGCUGAUUUUAUUAUAACCCGACUAGCAUAACGAUGUGAGGUGGUAGUGUUAUUUGGGGACGAAUGUUCCUAAGGGGGGGAUAAUGUAACAACACUAAAAAUGAAUAGGGUCAAGACUUAGGGUGUCAAGAAUGAUUUCCAUUAAACCAAGGUUCACACCACUUGAUACGCGUAGAACCAGACCUUGAAACCCUUACUACGAUCAAGUCAACUAACUUGGGGAGUUAGUUGGGCUUGGAAAGGUUGGAAUCAACCAAGUAAGGCUCGCGAAAACGAAGAUUUAAUCGAAGGAGUCUAUACCAGACUUAAAAGAAAAAAAUUUAUGUUUUAAGGGUCCAAGGAUAAAAUGGUCAUUUCCAGGCCAAGGGUAAUAUUGUAUUUAACUUGAAGAAUUAAUAACUUAAUUAAAUAAUUUAAUUAAAAGAGCUUUUCAAAUUUAGGGCAACUCAGAGUGACCUAUUUCGCAAAUGGGUUGCCACUCGGGUUCGAGCCCCACUAGGAGCAAGGAAUCGAUGAUUAAUCAUCAAUUAAAAUCUAUUCAUUAAGGGUAAAAUGGUCCUUUCACAUAUUAAUUAAAAUAAGUCAGAUUUUUAUUAAGUUAAUUAAAUCUUAUUUUGACUAAGUCUUGAAUUUAGUCUCCUAAUCUUAAUAAUUCUCUCCCUCACGUUUCUCAACUCUCUCUGACAUUCUCAAUCUCUCUCUCUCAUGUUAUUCUGCAAAACACAACAAAAUCCAGAAAAUACAUCAAGAGUUCUUCACAAUUGAAGAACUCACAAGAAUUUUUAAGGAAAAUACAAAAUAAUCAAAACGUCAAGGCUAUAGGUUUGGAGGUUCGUCGAGUGGGGUGUACGUUGAAGUGAGUUGGGCGUGGUUUGGAGGAGUUUCCUGGAAGCAGCUUCACACUUGAACAACAUUAAAAGGUGUAGGCACAGGUGGUCGAUAGAGUUGCAGGAGCAUUGUUGCAUCUAUCUGGACGUCAGCAUUUAUCCAGAGUUUGGUAGGUCCGCAUGCUUUUGAAGAUGCUAUUGUUUUAUAUUCUAGAAUAGUUUUAGAGUUGAGUUUGUGGAGCAUGUUCUAAUAGCGUUUCUUUGUUGUUUUGAUACAGACUUUGUAUUGGGCCAUUUUGGCAAUUAUAUAAUUAAGACUCAAUGAACUA